rnacentral:rRNA from 1 species
AUACGGAGGAUGCGAGCGUUAUCCGGAUUUAUUGGGUUUAAAGGGUGCGUAGGCUGUUUUUCAAGUCAGGGGUGAAAUGCCGGGGCUCAACUCCGGAGCUGCCCUUGAUACUGGGAGGCUGGAAUACUGUUGCCGUGGGAGGAAUGAGUAGUGUAGCGGUGAAAUGCAUAGAUAUUACUCAGAACACCGAUUGCGAAGGCAUCUCACGAAGCAGUGAUUGACGCUGAGGCACGAAAGCGUGGGGAUCAAACAGGAUUAGAUACCCUGGUAGUCCACGCAGUAAACGAUGAUAACUAACCGUUGGCGAUAGACAGCCAGUGGCCAAGCGAAAGCGAUAAGUUAUCCACCUGGGGAGUACGACCGCAAGGUUGAAACUCAAAUGAAUUGACGGGG